rnacentral:lncRNA from 1 species
GUUCUGUACGUGUGCAUAUAUAUUACUUACAAAUGUAUAAAUAUAUUUCUAACGACGCAACAUUUUCAUAUUAUUAAUUUAAUAUGUUCUAAAAAAAAUGUUUUUAUGAGUAUUACUUGAAGCGACAAAUAAUGUUAUUUUGCACUCGAUUAUGUCUGCGUUUUUAUACGAUCGGUUACAUGUACCAGUCAAAAUCGAAAGUCAAAUCUCUGUUGCGACAAUACAUCGGAAUGCCCUCACGGUCAUCGUGAUGUAAACAUGAAGUGUGGGCAUGAGGACGUGUACUUCCUUGUUCCAGGACAAACAUAUUUUUCGACUUUAAUGAAAAAAACUCUUUUUUAAAAAUAAUAUGUUUUUUUUUUUAAUUUCAUUAUUGUUUUAUUUUUUCUCUCAUUUUCAAUGGAAACAAUUAUUUUGAUUCCCUCCUGAAAAAGAUAAAAUAUCUUUCAAGAAACUUGGAAUCAAAC